GUAGUUAGCCGUGGCUUCCUCCUCAGGUACCGUCAUUAUCGUCCCUGAAGACAGAGCUUUACAACCCGAAAGCCUUCUUCCCUCACGCGGCGUUGCUGGGUCAGGCUUGCGCCCAUUGCCCAAUAUUCCCCACUGCUGCCUCCCGUAGGAGUCUGGACCGUGUCUCAGUUCCAGUGUGGCCGUUCAGCCUCUCAGCUCGGCUACCCAUCGUCGACUUGGUGGGCCGUUACCCCGCCAACUAUCUAAUGGGACGCGAACCCCUCCUGAAGCGGAUUGCUCCUUUGACCUCAUCCCGAUGUCGGGUCGUGGUCUUAUGCGGUAUUAGCAACCGUUUCCGAUUGUUAUCCCCCUCUUCAGGGCAGGUUGUUCACGCGUUACUCACCCGUUCGCCACUAAAGUAUCAACCGAAAUCAAUACUUCCGUUCGACUUGCAUGUGUUAGGCACGCCGCCAGCGUUCGUCCUGAGCCAUGAUCAAACUCUGA
rnacentral:rRNA from 1 species